AGCGAACGCUGGCGGCAGGCCUAACACAUGCAAGUCGAACGAAGUCUUCGGACUUAGUGGCGGACGGGUGAGUAACACGUGGGAACGUGCCUUUAGGUUCGGAAUAACUCAGGGAAACUUGUGCUAAUACCGAAUGUGCCCUUCGGGGGAAAGAUUUAUCGCCUUUAGAGCGGCCCGCGUCUGAUUAGCUAGUUGGUGAGGUAAAGGCUCACCAAGGCUACGAUCAGUAGCUGGUCUGAGAGGAUGACCAGCCACAUUGGGACUGAGACACGGCCCAAACUCCUGCGGGAGGCAGCAGUGGGGAAUCUUGCGCAAUGGGCGAAAGCCUGACGCAGCCAUGCCGCGUGGAUGAUGAAGGUCUUAGGAUUGUAAGAUUCUUUCACCGGGGACGAUAAUGACGGUACCCGGAGAAGAAGCCCCGGCUAACUUCGUGCCAGCCGCCGCAGUAAAAC
rnacentral:rRNA from 1 species